rnacentral:ncRNA from 1 species
GCCGUGGAUUCCGAAAAACGAAAGAGUAGGAA